UACGGAGGGGGCUAGCGUUGUUCGGAAUUACUGGGCGUAAAGCGCGCGUAGGCGGCUUUGUAAGCUAGAGGUGAAAGCCCGGAGCUCAACUCCGGAACUGCCUUUAAGACUGCAUCGCUAGAAUUGUGGAGAGGUGAGUGGAAUUCCGAGUGUAGAGGUGAAAUUCGUAGAUAUUCGGAAGAACACCAGUGGCGAAGGCGACUCACUGGACACAUAUUGACGCUGAGGUGCGAAAGCGUGGGGAGCAAACAGG
rnacentral:rRNA from 1 species